rnacentral:SRP_RNA from 2 species
GCUGGGUGUGCUGGCUCACACCUGUAAUCCCAGCACUUUGGGAGGCUGAGGUGGGUGGAUCACCUGAGGUCAGGAGUUCAAGACCAGCCUGGCCAACAUGGUGAAACCCCAUCUCUA